GCUGAUGCGUUGUUGGGUAGGGGAGCGUUCUGUAAGCCUGCGAAGGUGGCCUGUGAGGGUUGCUGGAGGUAUCAGAAGUGCGAAUGCUGACAUAAGUAACGAUAAAGCGGGUGAAAAGCCCGCUCGCCGGAAGACCAAGGGUUCCUGUCCAACGUUAAUCGGGGCAGGGUGAGUCGACCCCUAAGGCGAGGCCGAAAGGCGUAGUCGAUGGGAAACGGGUUAAUAUUCCCGUACUUGGUGUUACUGCGAAGGGGGGACGGAGAAGGCUAUGUUGGCCGGGCGACGGUUGUCCCGGUUUAAGCGUGUAGGUGUGUGUUCCAGGUAAAUCCGGUUCACUUUA
rnacentral:rRNA from 1 species